AGGUGGUGCAUGGUUGUCGUCAGCUCGUGUCGUGAGAUGUUGGGUUAAGUCCCGCAACGAGCGCAACCCUUAUUGUUAGUUGCCAUCAUUUAGUUGGGCACUCUAGCGAGACUGCCGGUGACAAACCGGAGGAAGGUGGGGAUGACGUCAAAUCAUCAUGCCCCUUAUGACCUGGGCUACACACGUGCUACAAUGGGAAGUACAACGAGUCGCUAGACCGCGAGGUCAUGCAAAUCUCUUAAAGCUUCUCUCAGUUCGGAUUGCAGGCUGCAACUCGCCUGCAUGAAGCCGGAAUCGCUAGUAAUCGCGGAUCAGCACGCCGCGGUGAAUACGUUCCCGGGCCUUGUACACACCGCCCGUCACACCACGAGAGUUUGUAACACCCGAAGUCGGUGAGGUAACCUUUUUGGAGCCAGCCGCCUAAGGUGGGAUAGAUGAUUGGGGUGAAGUCGUAACAAGGUAGCCGUAUCGGAAGGUGCGGCUGGAUCACCUCCUUUCUAAGGAA
rnacentral:rRNA from 1 species